UCAUGGCAGUUGAAAUUCUCGCGCGGAACAAAGGCUAAAUUCGUAAUUCAAAUUCCAUCUUCAAGCUCAAAAAUCAAUCUUCAUGGAGUUGAAGAUUUUGCUUCUGCAACUCUUUCUUCUUCCUUGAGGUGAAGUAAUUCCAUAGCAAUGCCGUACCUCUCCUUUUCUUCUCUCUCUUUGUCUUUAAUGGUGUGAAAAUGGAUUCAUUGCUUUCCAAUGCUUAAUCGUUACAUCAUUUUCAUAGCCCUAGAACCUCUUCUUCUUCAAUUACCUCUGCGAUUCUCCACUGAUUUUGGCUUCUUUCAGGAAUGGCGGAGGUUGCGAAGUUGCUUUACAUAGUUGUCGUGGAUGAGGAAGAAAAGCCAGAGAAAGGAAAAUUGUCUUUCAGGUACACUCGUUAUGUUCUACAGAGUACUCUUCAGCUUAUGGGAUGUAAACCGCGACACGCUUUCAAGAUAAGCAAAUGGGUAUUCGAAUUGAUAAGAAAGGAAGCUUCAACUGAAAAUUUUCUCCCUGAAGAGAGGAACAUAUUGGGAUCUGUUUCUUUGGGUGGAAAGACUGAAAGUGAUGGUAUUCAUUACUAUAAUUGCUUUGAUGGAAACGAGAUGUUCAAUCAGGGUUCAAGAGAAGGUGAUAAUAGCAACAAUAUUCCGUUUGAGCUGUAUAAAAGAAGCAGGACUGCUGUUGUUAGAAGAGAAUUUUUUUUAGAUGUUAUUUGUGAUUCUCUUGCUAAGUACAAGUACGUUGGUCCCAACCAGAGGGCAGAUUUGAUCUUGGCAUGCAGAAUCCGAGAAAGGAAGGAGUCUGUAACUGUGCUGUUAUGUGGUACUAGCGGCUGUGGCAAAUCCACUUUGUCAGCGCUGCUGGGCAGUAGGUUGGGAAUUACAACGGUGAUUUCAACCGACUCUAUACGACACAUGAUGAGGAGCUUUGUGGAUGAGAAACAAAACCCUCUGCUUUGGUCAUCAACCUACCAUGCUGGGGAGUUUUUGGAUCCUGUGGCUGUUGCUGAAUCUAAGGCUAGGAAGAAUGCAAAGAAAUUGGCUGGAAUUUCACACAAGCACCUAAAGGAUGAAACCGCUGAUGGUUUAAUUACGAGAAACUCAGACAACCUAUUAAUAGGGUCAGCGAAAGUAAUGAACAAUUUGGAAUUAAUCAGUCCAAAACAGAUGGCUAUUGAAGGAUUUAAAGCACAGAGUGAGAUGGUGAUAGAUAGUCUUGAUCGUCUUAUUACUGCAUGGGAAGAGCGGAAAGAGUCAGUAAUUGUUGAGGGAGUUCACUUAAGUUUGAGUUUUGUGAUGGGACUAAUGAAGAAGCACCCUUCAAUUAUACCGUUCAUGAUCUAUAUAGUGAAUGAGGAAAAACACUUGGAACGAUUUGCAGUACGUGCCAAAUAUAUGACACUGGACCCAGCGAAAAACAAGUAUGUGAAGUAUAUUCGAAAUAUCAGAACAAUUCAGGACUAUCUCUGCAACCGGGCUGACAAGCAUCUUGUCCCAAAAAUAAACAACACCAAUGUUGACAAGAGUGUUGCUGCAAUUCAAGCAACGCUGUUCAGCUGCCUUCGUAGGCGUGAAGCUGGGGAGCAGCUUUAUGAUUCCUCCAGAAAUACUGUUACUGUAGUUGAUGAGGAGUACAGAAACCAAUGUGUAGCAUAUUCAUUGAGUUCCAAGGGCAUGUUUCAGAUGAUCCAAAGGAAGGGUUCCAAGCACUUGAUGGCUCUUCUUAAUACUGAUGGAUCAGUGGCAAAGGCUUGGCCUGUUGAUUCAGUUGAUAGCAAUGGGAAACCUCUACUGGGCCUCGAGCCAGAUGAUAGUGUAGGGAAUUUGAUGCUUGGAUCACUUAAUAUUGGUAAGGUUGAACCAGUUAACCUUCAAUUUGGUCUUUACGGUAUCAGUGCUUGGCCAAGUAGUGGUGGCCCUAGUCAUGCUGGUAGUGUUGACGAGUCAAGGGCUGAAGGGACUGAUACGGGAAGUAGAUAUUUUUCAUCUUGCUGCAGUUCUCCAAGGAUAUUAGAUGGACCUUCUAAGGAGCUCAAGGAAGACAAUUCAGUUCACGGUAGUGAUGAAGAGGUUGAUGAUCCAACUGAGUCUGGUAGUGAUGAAGAUCGUAGUGAUGAUGGUGACAAGAUGUUCCAUGAAGAGAUAGGAUCAGUUGAUGAAGAAUCUACAAAAUCAGAUGAAGAGUAUGAUGAUCUGGCUAUGCAGGAUAUCCUAGAUAGUGGCUACCAAUCAGAUGAAGAUGAUGAGAAGGUUAAAAUAAAAACAGAACAUGAUUUUAUGGACCAAUUUAGACUCCGAAAAGGAUUUAAAUAUAGCCAAAACCUGGAACCAUUCCAACAAAGUAAGAAAGGAACUUUUGAGCCCCUCCACUCUUACUCAUCUAUUCAUACCGAGAAGAAUGAAGCGGUUUGCUAACUUGUGAAAAUCUCAAAAUGCAAAAUGCUCCCGAGCCAUUCCAGUCAUGUGCAAUAGUUGGUAGCUUCUGAUCGAUCACAAAUACAUUUUGGAGCUCCAGAAUAUCGAGCUUGAGAAUUCAUUGGGAUGAUCUAGGUCCAAAAUGGGCUAAAACGAAGCACUAGGGGUCAUAUGGAGCCUCGAGGCUCAAAAGACAGAAAAAUAACAAAAACGCCUGAUUGGAAGGAGUUUUUUAAAUCCCCUCGACCAAAUAAAUUUCAUGCCUACUAAAUUUUACAGUAAAUGCAGUAUAAUUGAUCCAUAGAGAAUUGAACUAGCUUUUCAGAAAAUAUGCAUAUGGUUCUAAUGUAACUGAAGGGGGUGGCUUGAUAUGCUUGCCGAUGUAAAUAUGCUUGAAAUGUAAAGAGUGCAUGAAAGUUGAAUGUAGAUAAUGGUGAAAGUGUUUAGAGGGUGUAAAAAGAAGUAUUGUUUAAAUAUAUAGCUCAGACUUUCGAGGU